rnacentral:misc_RNA from 1 species
GCAGUACUGGUUGCUCUCACACGUCAUUGACGACCUCGCUUGAGAGUGGGAGAGGAAUUUUACUGCUCGAGAGAUUUCAAUCCAACGCUCAAUCAUGGUUCUUUUACAGGCAGACCCGUUUCUUAAUGAACUUACAAGCAUGUUCGAACACAGUACUGAGAAGGGAACUGUUUGGGUUACUCUCAAACGAUCAUCGUUGAAGUCUAAGGUGCAAAGGAAUAAAAUGGCAGCUGCUGGUGAACCCCUUGAAUAUAGGUGUCUAAUCCGUGCAGCUGCCAUUUUAUUCCUUUGCACCUU